GGAAGUGAGAGAAGUUCAAACCCAGAUCAGAGAGGAGGAGGAGAGAUUCAGGGAGGAGCUGAGCUGUUACUGAACUAGAAGAGAGAGAAACCUCCACAUUCAACAGAGUUCAGCACACAAACCAUAAACUUUACCUUCAUUCAACAUGUUGUCUUUGGACUAUUAUGCACUUUCUUUACUGAUUCUCACCAUUCUAACAGGUGUCAGCUGUGAAGAUCUCACUCCAACCAACAAAGAAGUGUUCAGUGUAGAAGGCAGCACUGUUACUCUGUCCUAUAGAUUAUCCAGAGAAGUGAAGACUAAUGAUUAUUUCUUCUGGUAUCGACAAUAUCCUGGAAAACCACCAGAGAUACUCAUCUCUCACUCUGCAUCAGGAGUAAUAGGAACAGAAAACAUUCCUGGACUAAAGAUUCAAGUGGAGGGAACAGAAAUCAAGAUGAGCAUCUCCUCUGCUGCAGUGACAGACUCUGCUGUGUACUACUGUGCUGUGAGGCCCACAGUGACAGGAAACACCAAAACUCUGUACAAAAACCUUUGGAGCAAAGACAACAGAAUACUCCACAUGAUCGAGUGA